UCUUGAGCUCCUGAGAAAUGUAGUUUUUCCAGCGGCCCAGCCCCAGAAAGGUCCUAGCCAAGAACUACAGUUCCCAUGUGGCAAUGCGCGCGCCAUUCCGGUGGAAUUCACCGCGGUCUCCAGUUUGCCAUGAUGGAUGCCAGAACCUGCACGUGGGGCUUGGUGACGCGAUGACUGAGAUGCUGGAGUCCCCGGUCAGAAGGACGAUGCCGAGCGCGCCGUAUUUUCUCCUGCCUCUCCUCAGAUCGCCGCCGUUGUUGGGCUGUGGAGACGUCUCAACCAAAGUGGAGCCGACAGAGGCCCCGGGAGCCGUGGUGACAGAGCGGCCACAACCACUAGGGGGCGGGAGGCAGAGCGGCCCCUAGUCCGCCCCUAGUCCGGGACCUCUGGGCGGUCCCGGGCGGGAAGCGCACGCGCAAACGCGGGGCUUCGCGGCCGCUGUAAACACCAAAGAGCGCCUGCGCAAGCCGAGAGUCUCGGGAUCGACACGUGGGGGCGCCUGAGCGAAGAUAACCGUAAUAAAUAGUAACCUAACGGUCCAGUCA
rnacentral:lncRNA from 1 species